UCACAUCAAAUACAUGCAUCCAUCCAAAUCCAUUCUUUUUUUUUGCAAUCCGUUCAUUUUUUGUUGAUUACUAGACUAGACCACAGCAUUGUUUCUAAAUGACAU